rnacentral:lncRNA from 1 species
UGAAGUCCAAGCCAUUGAUGUCCAGAACUCUCUCCGCUGCAUCUUCGAUUUCAAUGCGACAGUCGAAAACCACCACUAUUUUAAGUCGUUUAGCAGACCCAUUAGCUUCAUUUUUACUCGAAAAAAAUGUGUUGUACAUCUUUUGGCACUGGCAAAGAUUUUCACAUCCCUCCAACUCUGCCAUGUUUCUUUAUGAACAAGUUCUGAGCAUCUACCGUCUGAGGUAUAAUAACAACGACAUCUACCGCAUGCCCUGAUAUGGAGAAACCAAUGCACGCGGCAAUAAGCGUCAUUGCGGUGCAUGGAGAAAAUCAAAGAAACGAAAUAAUAUGUUCAAUUAUGUUGUGCAAGCAGCUAGACAGUCACCUCCAAGGUACGCUUACGCCUUAUGGACACUCAAGAAAAUAAAAAAUGAAGACCCAAUGUUCUGAAUCAAGGAGAAAUCAAUUCACUGGCCUUCCACCAAAAGGACCUGAGCCCUAGGACCAUGCCUCAGGACUACCUGGCAUGAUGACUCCUUGCUGUCCCCAGUCCACCUGGUCGUGCUGCUGCUCCAGUUUCAACUGUUCUGCCUGCGGCUAUGGAACCCUGACCUGUUCACCGGACAUGCUACCUGUCCCAGACCUGCUGUUUUCAACUCUCUAAAGACAGCAGGAGCGGUAGAGAUACUCUCAAUGAUCGGCUAUGAAAAGCCAACUGACAUUUACUCCUGAGGUGCUGACCUGUUGCACCCUUGACAACUACUGUGAUUAUUAUUUGACCAUGCUGGUCAUUUAUGAACAUUUGAACAUCUUGGCCAUGUUCUGUUAUAAUCUUCACCUGGCACAGCCAGAAGAGGACUGGCCACCCCUCAUAGCCUGGUUCCUCACUAGGUUUCUUCCUAGGUUUUGGCCUUUCUAGGGAGUUUUUCCUAGCCACUGUGCUUCUACACCUGCAUUGCUUGCUGUUUGGGGUUUUAGGCUGGCUUUCUGUACAGCACUUUGAGAUAUCAGCUGAUGUAAGAAGGGUUAUAUAAAUACAUUUGAUUUGAUUUGUAGCUCGAACAUUACAGGAAGAAAAUACACACAUCCGAGAAAGAAAACUAAUUAAGAAAUAUCA